rnacentral:rRNA from 1 species
AUGCCCAGGUUACAAAGGUGUGCUGCUGCUAGAAGAAAGAAAAUUGUUGGUGUUGGUCGUGGCAAGAUGGCUGCCGCUACAGCUCAUGAUGAUGACUUUAUGGAGCCACCGUUUAGGUCAACAUCACUUCCCAUUAAAUACGUAGCGCUGGUUUCUAGAUGCACACCCAUUUCUAUUUCGUCCAUCGUGAAGGAUUUUAACGAUGAGAAGAAACGCUUAGUCAUUGAAAUGAAGUUUGAGGGAAUUUUGAAACUACCGGAAAUCACAAACUCUCGGGAAUUUAGUCACAACCUUCUAUCUAGGGUAUCCACUGAAGAAAUAGCAAUUAGAAUGGGUGAUGAAACUCUUCUGCACUUCACUGAUGGUGAUGUUCACAAAGUUCUGGGUAUCCCAUUCUCGGGAAAGGAGUUGCGAAUUCCUUCCACGAAAGAAGUCAGUCACAUAAAAAAUGUAAUAUGCAUCCGACUGAAUGUCCCGGAGUUUAAAAAAAUCACGAGAAGUGUACUCACUGAUAUUCUAAGCAAGAAACAUGAAGCACCAAUGUCGGAUGAGGAAAUUGCUGCCUUCAAGACUGCCUUCAUUCUCCUUUUGAUGACAAAAUUUCUCGCGCCACAAACUUUGUUGGAUAAUAUAUGUCCUAAAUAUUUUAUGGCGCUCAAGAAUUUAGAUGACAUCCCUAACUAG